rnacentral:rRNA from 1 species
CCUACGGGAGGCAGCAGUGGGGAAUUUUGGACAAUGGGGGCAGCCCUGAUCCAGCAAUGCCGCGUGCAGGAAGAAGGCCUUCGGGUUGUAAACUGCUUUUGUACGGAGCGAAAAGGCUCUCUCUAAUACAGAGGGCUGAUGACGGUACCGUAAGAAUAAGCACCGGCUAACUACGUGCCAGCAGCCGCGGUAAU